rnacentral:rRNA from 2 species
UUAAGCGACUAAGCGUACACGGUGGAUGCCCUGGCAGUCAGAGGCGAUGAAGGACGUGCUAAUCUGCGAUAAGCGUCGGUGAGGUGAUAUGAACCGUUAUAACCGGCGAUUUCCGAAUGGGGAAACCCAGUGUGUUUCGACACACUAUCAUUAACUGAAUCCAUAGGUUAAUGAGGCGAACCGGGGGAACUGAAACAUCUAAGUACCCCGAGGAAAAGAAAUCAACCGAGAUUCCCCCAGUAGCGGCGAGCGAACGGGGAGGAGCCCAGAGCCUGAAUCAGUGUGUGUGUUAGUGGAAGCGUCUGGAAAGGCGCGCGAUACAGGGUGACAGCCCCGUACACAAAAAUGCACAUGCUGUGAGCUCGAUGAGUAGGGCGGGACACGUGGUAUCCUGUCUGAAUAUGGGGGGACCAUCCUCCAAGGCUAAAUACUCCUGACUGACCGAUAGUGAACCAGUACCGUGAGGGAAAGGCGAAAAGAACCCCGGCGAGGGGAGUGAAAAAGAACCUGAAACCGUGUACGUACAAGCAGUGGGAGCCUCUUAAUGGGGUGACUGCGUACCUUUUGUAUAAUGGGUCAGCGACUUAUAUUCUGUAGCAAGGUUAACCGAAUAGGGGAGCCGAAGGGAAACCGAGUCUUAACUGGGCGUUAAGUUGCAGGGUAUAGACCCGAAACCCGGUGAUCUAGCCAUGGGCAGGUUGAAGGUUGGGUAACACUAACUGGAGGACCGAACCGACUAAUGUUGAAAAAUUAGCGGAUGACUUGUGGCUGGGGGUGAAAGGCCAAUCAAACCGGGAGAUAGCUGGUUCUCCCCGAAAGCUAUUUAGGUAGCGCCUCGUGAAUUCAUCUCCGGGGGUAGAGCACUGUUUCGGCAAGGGGGUCAUCCCGACUUACCAACCCGAUGCAAACUGCGAAUACAGGAGAAUGUUAUCACGGGAGACACACGGCGGGUGCUAACGUCCGUCGUGAAGAGGGAAACAACCCAGACCGCCAGCUAAGGUCCCAAAGUCAUGGUUAAGUGGGAAACGAUGUGGGAAGGCCCAGACAGCCAGGAUGUUGGCUUAGAAGCAGCCAUCAUUUAAAGAAAGCGUAAUAGCUCACUGGUCGAGUCGGCCUGCGCGGAAGAUGUAACGGGGCUAAACCAUGCACCGAAGCUGCGGCAGCGACACUAUGUGUUGUUGGGUAGGGGAGCGUUCUGUAAGCCUGUGAAGGUAGCCUGUGAGGGUUGCUGGAGGUAUCAGAAGUGCGAAUGCUGACAUAAGUAACGAUAAAGCGGGUGAAAAGCCCGCUCGCCGGAAGACCAAGGGUUCCUGUCCAACGUUAAUCGGGGCAGGGUGAGUCGACCCCUAAGGCGAGGCCGAAAGGCGUAGUCGAUGGGAAACAGGUUAAUAUUCCUGUACUUGGUGUUACUGCGAAGGGGGGACGGAGAAGGCUAUGUUGGCCGGGCGACGGUUGUCCCGGUUUAAGCGUGUAGGCUGGUUUUCCAGGCAAAUCCGGAAAAUCAAGGCUGAGGCGUGAUGACGAGGCACUACGGUGCUGAAGUGACAAAUGCCCUGCUUCCAGGAAAAGCCUCUAAGCAUCAGGUAACAUCAAAUCGUACCCCAAACCGACACAGGUGGUCAGGUAGAGAAUACCAAGGCGCUUGAGAGAACUCGGGUGAAGGAACUAGGCAAAAUGGUGCCGUAACUUCGGGAGAAGGCACGCUGAUAUGUAGGUGAAGCGACUUGCUCGUGGAGCUGAAAUCAGUCGAAGAUACCAGCUGGCUGCAACUGUUUAUUAAAAACACAGCACUGUGCAAACACGAAAGUGGACGUAUACGGUGUGACGCCUGCCCGGUGCCGGAAGGUUAAUUGAUGGGGUUAGCGGUAACGCGAAGCUCUUGAUCGAAGCCCCGGUAAACGGCGGCCGUAACUAUAACGGUCCUAAGGUAGCGAAAUUCCUUGUCGGGUAAGUUCCGACCUGCACGAAUGGCGUAAUGAUGGCCAGGCUGUCUCCACCCGAGACUCAGUGAAAUUGAACUCGCUGUGAAGAUGCAGUGUACCCGCGGCAAGACGGAAAGACCCCGUGAACCUUUACUAUAGCUUGACACUGAACAUUGAGCCUUGAUGUGUAGGAUAGGUGGGAGGCUUUGAAGUGUGGACGCCAGUCUGCAUGGAGCCGACCUUGAAAUACCACCCUUUAAUGUUUGAUGUUCUAACGUUGGCCCCUAAUCGGGGUUGCGGACAGUGUCUGGUGGGUAGUUUGACUGGGGCGGUCUCCUCCUAAAGAGUAACGGAGGAGCACGAAGGUUGGCUAAUCCUGGUCGGACAUCAGGAGGUUAGUGCAAUGGCAUAAGCCAGCUUGACUGCGAGCGUGACGGCGCGAGCAGGUGCGAAAGCAGGUCAUAGUGAUCCGGUGGUUCUGAAUGGAAGGGCCAUCGCUCAACGGAUAAAAGGUACUCCGGGGAUAACAGGCUGAUACCGCCCAAGAGUUCAUAUCGACGGCGGUGUUUGGCACCUCGAUGUCGGCUCAUCACAUCCUGGGGCUGAAGUAGGUCCCAAGGGUAUGGCUGUUCGCCAUUUAAAGUGGUACGCGAGCUGGGUUUAGAACGUCGUGAGACAGUUCGGUCCCUAUCUGCCGUGGGCGCUGGAGAACUGAGGGAGGCUGCUCCUAGUACGAGAGGACCGGAGUGGACGCAUCACUGGUGUUCGGGUUGUCAUGCCAAUGGCACUGCCCGGUAGCUAAAUGCGGAAGAGAUAAGUGCUGAAAGCAUCUAAGCACGAAACUUGCCCCGAGAUGAGUUCUCCCUGACUCCUUGAGAGUCCUGAAGGAACGUUGAAGACGACGACGUUGAUAGGCCGGGUGUGUAAGCGCAGCGAUGCGUUGAGCUAACCGGUACUAAUGAACCGUGAGGCUUAACCUU